ACCUCCUGGCUUCACGGCUCCUGGCUGGCGGCCAGCUCUCAGAGGCCAUUUGGGAUUCCAGCCAUUUGGGAUUCCUGAUCGGCGGAUUGGGGUUGUCCCCUGGAAAGGAGGAGGUUCCAGGUUUCCUGCCCCACCCAAAAGGAGGGUGGAGCUGAGCUGGGUGAAGAAGAAGCUGCAGAGAAGACUGAGGAAGGAAGGAAGCAGGCUGGAGAACCAGAAGGAGACAUGGAGGAGGCACAUGAGCUGAGAGACGUGUGAAGAAACUGCGCUUGCCGUUUGGUCAUGGACUGGGUGACACAGAUGUGGAACAUGGAAUGGGUAGCAGCAGAUACCAAAUUGGACAAAAGAAAAUCUACAUGUCUCUUCAGCAAUCAGCUUUGAGAGAGACCAGCUAAAGGAGAGCCAGCGACACAUCCAAUCCAAGCCAUGCUCUACUAUGGAUCGCACAAUAUGAUCCAAGAUAGAGGAAAGAGAUUAUAAUGGACAAUAAGAACAUUUUUGUUCCUUGAUUCUUGGAGGAUGGAGACCAGUGUGGCCAGAGUACUUUCAUCCUUGGGGACUAGCUGCUGGACUGGGUUUAUCACACAGAAAUUGAACUCCAUCUAUAAACCGAUGUAAUUUUUCAAAGCCACAUUGCAAGGAAGUCUUCUGGGACAGUGAUUAUCAGAAAAUCCCUCAGGAUUCAAAGCUGAAAAUGACAGCUUCCUUUGCUUCCUAUCAGAAAGAUCUGCUACAAUGGGGCUCAAGUUGGAGAGACAGCAGAAGGACAGCAAGACAUGCAGGGCUAGAUUUGUCUUUGCUACCCUUUGGUUUUAAUGUGUAUUUUCUAUAGCCAGCUCUUCAUUCCUUUUUCCCUUUUAAAAAAUAUUAACUCAUAUUUUGUUGAAAUGAUUGUUAAACUGGUUGGAGAAAUUUUUGAGUAAGCCUUCUUCUGAUCAUAAAAUUAGAACAACAUUGGUGUAUGUAGACAAUCUAAAACAAUCUAGAACAUAAAGAAGACAAGAAAACAAUGACGUGAUUUCACCGAUCUAAAGCUGCUGUUAAUAUUUGGUGUAGCCUCUUCUAGUACAUUAUAGGGUCGAGAUAGAAGUUUGUAAACAUUUUCUAUAUGUAAAAUUUCAUAAGCAUUAUUUGUAAUGGUUGCAUGAUAUUCCAUUGUAUGAAAAUAGCAUCAUUGAUAUAACUUAUUUAAACAUUUCCCUAUGGGGAUUUAGGUCGAUUCCUACAAAAUAAAAAAAAAUUAAU